rnacentral:rRNA from 1 species
UACGUAGGCAGCAAGCGUUGUUCGGAAUUACUGGGCGUAAAGAGUGUGUAGGCGGUGCUCUAAGUUCGGUGUGAAAUCUCCCGGCUUAACUGGGAGGGUGCGCCGGAAACUGGAGUGCUUGAGCGCGGGAGAGGAAAGCGGAAUUCCUGGUGUAGCGGUGAAAUGCGUAGAUAUCGUAAGGAAGACCAGUGGCGAAGGCGAGUCUCUGGACAGCAACUGACGCUGAGGCACGAAGGCCAGGGGAGCAAACGGG